GCGCUGCUUACACAUGCAGUCGAACGGUGAAGGUGGAGCUUGCUCCGCCGGAUCAGUGGCGAACGGGUGAGUAACACGUGGGCAACCUGCCCCAGACUUCGGGAUAACUCCUCGAAAGAGGCGCUAAUACCGGAUACGAGCUCUGCAGGCAUCUGCGGAGUUGGAAAGUUUUUCGGUCAAGGAUGAUCUCGCGGCCUAUCAGCUAGUUGGUGAGGUAACGGCUCACCAAGGCGACGACGGGUAGCCGGCCUGAGAGGGUGACCGGCCACACUGGGACUGAGACACGGCCCAGACUCCUACGGGAGGCAGCAGUGGGGAAUAUUGCACAAUGGGCGCAAGCCUGAUGCAGCAACGCCGCGUGAGGGAUGACGGCCUUCGGGUUGUAAACCUCUUUUAGCAGGGAAGAAGCGAAAGUGACGGUACCUGCAGAAAAAGCACCGGCUAACUACGUGCCAGCAGCCGCGGUAAUACGUAGGGUGCAAGCGUUGUCCGGAAUUAUUGGGCGUAAAGAGCUCGUAGGCGGUUUGUCACGUCUGCUGUGAAAAUCCAAGGCUCAACCUUGGACUUGCAGUGGGUACGGGCAGGCUAGAGUGCGGUAGGGGAGAUGGGAAUUCCUGGUGUAGCGGUGGAAUGCGCAGAUAUCAGGAGGAACACCAAUGGCGAAGGCAGAUCUCUGGGCCGUAACUGACGCUGAGGAGCGAAAGCGUGGGGAGCGAACAGGAUUAGAUACCCUGGUAGUCCACGCCGUAAACGGUGGGAACUAGAUGUGGGGUCCGUUCC
rnacentral:rRNA from 1 species